AUUGAACGCUGGUGGAAUGCUUUACACAUGCAAGUCGAACGGCAGCACGGACUUCGGUCUGGUGGCGAGUGGCGAACGGGUGAGUAAUGUAUCGGAACGUGCCCAGUCGUGGGGGAUAACGUAGUGAAAAUUACGCUAAUACCGCAUACGAUCUAUGGAUGAAAGCGGGGGAUCGCAAGACCUCGCGCGAUUGGAGCGGCCGAUAUCAGAUUAGGUAGUUGGUGGGGUAAAGGCCCACCAAGCCAACGAUCUGUAGCUGGUCUGAGAGGACGACCAGUCACACUGGAACUGGGACACGUUCCAGACUCCUACGGGAGGCAGCAGUGGGGAAUUUUGGACAAUGGGCGAAAGCCUGAUCCAGCCAUUCCGCGUGCAGGAUGAAGGCCCUCGGGUUGUAAACUGCUUUUGUACAGAACGAAAAGGUUUCUACUAAUACUAGGAGCUCAUGACGGUACUGUAAGAAUAAGCACCGGCUAACUACGUGCCAGCCGCCGCCGUAA
rnacentral:rRNA from 1 species